rnacentral:rRNA from 1 species
ACGAACGCUGGCGGCAGGCUUCAUACAUGCAAGUCGAACGGGUGUAGCAAUACAUCAGUGGCGAACGGGUGAGUAACAGGUGGAUAAUCUGCCCCUCGGUGGGGGAUAACGGCUGGAAACGGCCGCUAAUACCGCAUACGAUUGUCGGGUUCUUGGAUCUGCAAGGAAAAGGCGCUGAAAGGCGUCGCGAAGGAUGAGUCCGCCCCCCAUUAGCUAGUUGGCGGGAUAAUAGGCCCACCAAGGCAACGAUGGGUAGCGAGCUGAGAGGUUGAUCGGCCACACUGGGACUGAGACACGGCCCAGACACCUACGGGUGGCAGCAGUAGGGAAUCUUGGACAAUGGGCGAAAGCCUGAUCCAGCCAUGCCGCGUGAGUGAUGAGGUCUUCGGACUGUAAAACUCUUUUCUGAGGGAAGAACAGAUGGGGUAGGAAAUGACCCCGUUUUGACGGUACCUCAGGAAUAAGCAACGGCUAACUCCGUGCCAGCAGCCGCGGUUAAUACGGAGGUUGCAAGCGUUGUUCGGAAUGACUGGGCGUAAAGGGAGCGCAGCCGGCUCGAUUAGUCUGGAGUGAAAGCCCGGGGCUCAACCCCGGAGGGUCUUCGGAAUACUGUCGAGCUCGAGUACGGAAGAGGAGAGUGGAAUUCCAGGUGUAGCGGUGAAAUGCGUAGAUAUCUGGAGGAACACCGGUGGCGAAAGCGGCUCUCUGGUCCGAUACUGACGGUCAGGCUCGAAAGCGUGGGGAGCAAAACGGGAUUAGAUACCCCGGUAGUCCACGCCGUAAACGUUGUGCGCUAGUGUGGGAGGUAUCGACCCCUCCCGUGCCGCAGCUAACGCACUAAGCGCACCGCCUGGGGAGUUACGGUCGCAAGACUGAAACUCAAGGAAUUGACGGGGCCCGCACAAGCGGUGGAGCAUGUGGUUAAUUCGAGGCAACGCGAAGAACCUUAACCAGGCUUGACAUCCUCUGACAGCCCAUGAAAGUGGUUUCCCCUUCGGGGGCAGGGAGACAGGUGUUGCAUGGCUGUUCGUCAGCUCGUGUCGUGAGAUGUUGGGUUAAGUCCCGCAACGAGCGCAACCCUUGUUCGUAGUUACCAGCGGUUCGGCCGGGCACUCUACGAAGACUGCGGUGAUAAGCAGGAGGAAGGUGGGGAUGACGUCAAGUCAUCACGGCCCUUACGCCUGGGGCGACGCACGUGCCUACAAUGGCCGUCCAAAGGGUGCAAAACCGCAAGGUCGAGCCAAUCCCAAAAAGCCGGUCCUCAGUUCGGAUUGGAGUCUGCAACCCGACUCCAUGAAGUCGGAAUCGCUAGUAAUCGUGGAUCAGCCAUGCCACGGUGAAUACGUUCCCGGGCCUUGUACACACCGCCCGUCACAUGACCCGAGUCGGGUGCACCCGAAGUCACUGGCCCAACCCGCAAGGGAGGGAGGUGCCGAAGGUGUGCCUGGUGAGGGGGAUG